GCACCUGGGUGCGCGUCAUUACUCGCGGGUGCCGAUGGCUGGGGCAGCGGCGCCGGCGGGGCCGGGCGCAGAACGGUGAAAUGUCCCAACAUUCCCAGCUGAGGAAGCAGAGGGAGAUGGAGAUUGACCCCUGACUGCCAACAAAAACAGUGGCAAAACCCAGGAGAGAAGAACCCUUGCAGCCCCCAGCCCUCCAUCCCUCCCCAGCCAGACCUGAAGAUGGCCCCGAGGGAGGCGGGAGUGUGGAGGCAAACGCGGGCUCUGCUCUGGAAGAAUUGUCUGAUCAAGUGCAGGACGAAGAAAAGCAGCGUCCAGGAGGUGCUUUUCCCACUGUUUUUCCUCUUCUGGCUGAUCCUGAUGAGCAUGAUGCACCCUCACAGGAAAU